rnacentral:lncRNA from 1 species
AACAAAAUCUCUUUCCUUCUUACAUUUAAAGGUCUUCUAUCUUUAAAUUGUUCUCCUACAUACAACCAUGUAUCUGCAUUUGUAUAUCAAUUUAUAGCAAGUUUAUGUGUUUAUGUCUGUUAGUUUCCUCACAUUAACUGGGACAUACAUCUUUCACUACAACACCACCUCGGAACCUUAUGCCCUAUAGAGAAUCUUAUGUUUAUUUCUUUCAAUGUUGGGCUGUCUAUUUACUUUUCCAUUGUCACAGCAGAGACAAAAGAAACAUGUCUUUGACUUUUGAUUAAGCAGAUGAAUAUGGCCAAUGCCAAGAUUUUUGUUGAUAGACUAGUGAACUAAAUGUUUCGUUCUUGCUUUAAGAGUCAUGACUAGGAUUAUCCGUGCUUCCUAUGUGACUUUGUCCCCUUCACAACCUAGUCAUCUGAGGUGCAUCUAAGUUAUUAUUUUCAAUUUACUCAUGUUAACUGGUCAAAUAAGAUCUUUUCGUUCUUUUAAUUGGGGAAUGUCAUCGAAUACGCCAAGCUAUUUGAUAUGUCAAUUCCUAGCAAGAAUUCGCGGUCCAACGCUUUGGUUCAGUGAUAAGAAUGCAACACGUGAUGCGUCGAACCAGAAGGGAGCUUGUACUCAUGAGUCGAACCAGAAGAGUGUACCUGCGACUGUUUGUUUCAUACUAGGUGGAGGGUAGGAGCCCUAGGGCAUGGUCUUUUUAGUGUUUCUUUAUACACAAAUGGGACCAAAUGGUGUGCUAAUACUCCAACCAAGUGGACAAGGUAGUAGUGUACUUUGCCUACUCGAUACCCAGCAUUUUGUUUCAAGAAAAUGUAUGUCUGUCCUAUUGUCUAGGACAUGAUUUUGGUCUUCUUAUUGAUCAUGUUGGACGGUACUCGUCUCUAACCAUGUGGAAAGAAAAUUAAAUCAAAUCAGUUUUCUGGGAUUUGGAUUAGUCUGCCAAAGAUUCUUCAUGUGUGCUAAUGUUCGUUCAACUUUUGAUUAUUGACUAAUUGAUUAAUUAAAUCGUGUUUGGUGCCUUAA